CCUACGGGAGGCUGCAGUGAGGAAUAUUGGUCAAUGGACGAGAGUCUGAACCAGCCAAGUAGCGUGAAGGAUGAAGGCCCUAUGGGUUGUAAACGUCGUUUAUAGGGGAAGAAAACAGGGUAUGCAUACCCUCUUGUAUGUACCAUAUGAAUAAGGAUCGGCUAACUCCGUGCCAGCAGCCGCGGUAAUACGGAGGAUCCGAGCGUUAUCCGGAUUUAUUGGGUUUAAAGGGAGCGUAGGUGGCUUGUUAAGUCAGUUGUGAAAGUUUGCGGCUCAACCGUAAAAUUGCAGUUGAAACUGGCAGUCUUUAGUACAGUAGAGGUAGGCGGAAUUCGUGGUGUAGCGGU
rnacentral:rRNA from 1 species